rnacentral:rRNA from 1 species
UACGUAGGGUGCGAGCGUUGUCCGGAAUUACUGGGCGUAAAGAGCUCGUAGGUGGUUUGUCGCGUUGUUCGUGAAAUUCCCUGGCUUAACUGGGGGCGUGCGGGCGAUACGGGCAGACUGGAGUACUGCAGGGGAGACUGGAAUUCCUGGUGUAGCGGUGGAAUGCGCAGAUAUCAGGAGGAACACCGGUGGCGAAGGCGGGUCUCUGGGCAGUAACUGACGCUGAGGAGCGAAAGCUGGGGGAGCAAACAGG